rnacentral:rRNA from 1 species
UACAGAGACUGCAAGCGUUAUUCGGAUUCACUGGGCGUAAAGGGUGCGCAGGCGGCCAAGUGUGUUAGGCGUGAAAGCCCGGGGCUUAACCCCGGAAUUGCACCUAAAACUACAUGGCUAGAGCAUUGGAGAGGGUAGCGGAAGUUCGACGGUGUAGCAGUGAAAUGCGUAGAUAUCGAUGAGGAACACCAGAGGCGAAGGCGGCUACCUGGACAAUUGCUGACGCUCAGGCACGGAAAGCGUGGGGAGCAAAAGGG